AUACGAGGGGUGCAAGCGUUAAUCGGAAUUACUGGGCGUAAAGCGUUCGUAGGCGGUUUGUUAAGCAAGAUGUGAAAGCCCUGGGCUCAACCUGGGAACUGCAUUUUGAACUGGCAAGCUAGAAUACUGUAGAGGGUGGUAGAAUUUCCAGUGUAGCGGUGAAAUGCGUAGAGAUUGGAAGGAACAUCAGUGGCGAAGGCGGCCACCUGGACAGAUAUUGACGCUGAGGAACGAAAGCGUGGGGAGCGAACAGGAUUAGAAACCCUUGUAGUCC
rnacentral:rRNA from 1 species